rnacentral:rRNA from 1 species
CAGUCGCCGCGGUAAUACGAAGGGUGCAAGCGUUAAUCGGAAUUACUGGGCGUAAAGCGUGCGUAGGCGGUGAGUUAAGUCUGCUGUGAAAUCCCCGGGCUCAACCUGGGAAUGGCAGUGGAUACUGGCUCGCUAGAGUGUGUCAGAGGAUGGUGGAAUUCCCGGUGUAGCGGUGAAAUGCGUAGAGAUCGGGAGGAACAUCAGUGGCGAAGGCGGCCAUCUGGGACAACACUGACACUGAGGCACGAAAGCGUGGGGAGCAAACAGGAUUAGAUACCCCAGUAGUCCCUGUCUCUUAUCC